AAGCAAAAGACUAUGGAUGAAUGAAGUUGUUGGGGGUUUACAAUUUCAUCUUAUCCGUCCUCUUUUAUCUACUCCUCUUGUUUAAAUUGCUUUGUUAUCUAAUUUUUAUGCAAACUUUCUUGGCCUACCCUUAACUCGAUCCCUCAGCGAGAAGAGCCUAUUACUAAUUACUGGCUUGCUAUCCCUAGCCUCCCCUAGCAACUAGCAACGCAUUACCGAACAGAAGCAAAAACAAUUGAUCGUCCUACCUCCCUAUCCCUGGGUGGUAUUUCAUUAAUCAAGGAAUUUCUCACCAGUUCGUGAUAGUACUGUACGUUCCCGUAUCAAUAGAGACAAACAACAGUUAU
rnacentral:lncRNA from 1 species